GCCUGCCGCGUGCGGAGACUGCCCUAUGGGUUGUAACUGCUUUUAUACGGGAAGAAUAAGCCUUACGUGUAAGGAGAUGACGGUACUGUAAGAAUAAGGACCGGCUAACUCCGUGCCAGCAGCCGCGGUAAUACGGAGGGUCCGAGCGUUAUCCGGAAUUAUUGGGUUUAAAGGGUCCGUAGGCGGAUGAUUAAGUCAGGGGUGAAAGUUUGCAGCUCAACUGUAAAACUGCCUUUGAUACUGGUUAUCUUGAGUUGUAUUGAAGUAGGCGGAAUAUGUAGUGUAGCGGUGAAAUGCAUAGAUAUUACAUAGAACACCAAUUGCGAAGGCAGCUUACUAAGUACUAACUGACGCUGAUGGACGAAAGCGUGGGUAGCGAACAGGAUUAGAUACCCUGGUAGUCCACGCCGUAAACGAUGGAUACUAGCUGUUCGGGACCUUGAGUUCUGAGCGGCUAAGCGAAAGUGAUAAGUAUCCCACCUGGGGAGUACGUUCGCAAGAAUG
rnacentral:rRNA from 1 species